AUUAAAUCUAUAAUGCUGUUCGCGAUCGAAUGUUGGUCUUACUUAGCUGAACCGGCUUCGAGAUGUGUGAUAGCUCAGUGGAAGAGCUUCUGCCUAUGGACCGAGAGAACCAGGUUCAAAUCCCAGCUCCGUCCUUAUUUUUUUUUUUUGUUUUGUCUUUUUAAUUUUUUUAUUUUCUUAAUGGUAAUUAAAUUCAUUUUGAAACAUAAAAUUUAAUUUCCACAAAUUAUAGCAGAUUGAAGUUCACCUUCACUUCUGAAUGCUAUAAUGUGCCAUAAGGGGAAAUGCUAUAAAUUUUUUUUUGAUGAUAGUGGUGAAACUUUCUUUAACCUUUUUUUUUAGUAUGUUCUUAUUUCAUACGUUUGUACAUGCACAAUACAUCAACUGAGUGCUUUUACCAUGUCUUUGUGCUAGAAAAGUCGCCAUAAUGGUUUUUGGAAAUUUAAGAUAGUAUUGGUUAUUCAGCCGUUUUUGAUUGCUUUUAGCCGAGGAUACAAAAGGGGGUAACUGAGGAGACAUUUUGUACAUUUUAUUCUAACCUUGAAGCUGUUCACCUGCAAAGUUAUUUGAAAGUUUGAAAAGAAAAAUUAAUUUUUUUUUUUUCAUUUUUGCAAGUCAUAACCAACAAUUUUUAUCAAAAACGUUGAAGUUUUUCUAAUUGUCUGAAAAACAGUCAACCAGUUUUCAAACGUGGUUGUAAAUGUUGGUGAAAUAAUUUUCUUCUGCCUGUUUCCACGAUUUCUUGGAAUAAAUUCUUGCCGGAGCAAGGAACUCUAAAAAAAAAAAAAAAAACUUGCAAUACUGAGACUUAACUGGUGGUCCAGAUACACUUUUUUAUUUGAUUCUUUGGAGUUCCUGUUUUUUUACUUGGCAGCAAUACCAUAUAUGUUCUAUGUCGUUGUUUUCACUUGGAUUCCCCCUCAUUUCCCUGCCUUGAUACACCGAUGCCGUCCACAAGCUGCCAAACUUCUUCAACAACAUUCAGUGUUUAGUGGUUUCGAAUGCUUUAAAGCGAUCGGUAAUUUUGUUGGAAAUCUUGUAAUUAUUAAUAUUUGAGUGCGGGUAUUCCAAGUGAAGAAAAAAAACCAAAAGUUUAAAUAUUACGCUAUAUUGGUAGUUUAUCCUAUCAAAAUUAUUUUUAAUACCCAUAUAUUUGUGUUUUGUUUAAUAAGAGAGAACAGACCAAAACAAAAAACUGUUAAAUUGGUUAAUUUGCUGGAGUUUGCUGUUAUCAACAUCAACCAACCCAUUCUGGAAGGCCUUUCAACGUGGGAGCUCCGAAAUAUUCAAAGUAUGGCCAUUUGCUUUUGGUAAUGUGGCUGCUGCUGUUGUUACUGCUGCUUUUGUUGAUACCGCUGUUGUCGCUGCUGCUAUUGUUGAUGCUACUGUUGUUAAUGUUGCUGUUAUUUCUUUUAAUUCUUCGCAGCCCAGAUUAUAUCGAAGCCUGGUGUCUUUUUUGCACUAUUCUUUCUUCGCAGCCCAGACUAUUUCGAAGCCUGGUGACACUUAUUGUUUGUAUACUUUGUGGGCGAGAAAUAUUUAUUAUACUUUAUUAAUGUCAAAAUCAAAACGAAACUCUAGCAAAUAAUUUUAACUUAAUUCUGAAUAUCCAAACUGUUGGCUGUGCGCUUUUGUGUUUCUUGGCAGCUUGCUGUAGGCUACUUGCUGGAGUCGCAUGUUGGAGUAUCGACUUGCAAAUAUUUUAUCGUAUGAUGCCUGCAAUAAGUGAUGACAUAGCAUCAACAUCAUGCCACCAACGUGUGUUUUAUUUGACGACAAAUUAUUGAUAGGAGACUGUGUUAACUUAUAUUUAAAUGUUGCCAGACAAAA